ACAUUUUUUUUUAUUUACGUAUUUCUGCCAAUGAUUAAUUUAAAUGGCUGCAGUAUUUUGACUGUACAAAGGUAGCAUAAUAAUUAGUCUCUUAAUUGGGGACUGGUAUGAAGGAAAAUAUGAAAGAUUUAUUUUAUUUAAUUUAUUAUUAUAAUUUAAUUUUUAAGUUAAAAAGCUUAAAUAUUUUAUAGGGACGAUAAGACCCUAUAGAACUUUAUAAUUUAAAUUACAAAUUUUAGUUAAUUUAUUAUUUUAAAUUAUUUAAUUGGGGUGAUUAAUAAAUUUGUUUUACUUUAUUUAAUUUUUUCAUUAAUUUAUGAUUAAAUGUUCCAUAGUUUAUGAUUUUAAGUUUAAGUUACCUUAGGGAUAACAGCGUAAUUUUAAUGGGGAGUUCUUAUCUAUAUUAAAGUUUGCGACCUCGAUGUUGAAUUAAGAUAAGAUUAGGGGGUAGGUUCUUUAAAUUCUAAGUCUGUUCGACUUUUAAAUUCUUACAUGAUCUG
rnacentral:rRNA from 1 species